GCCUGCCGGGCCUUCAGCAAACACGAUGCGCCAAGCACUGAACCGCCCACUGUGUAGACAUCAUCAAUGGCUGGGUGCCUGUAAUACCAGCACUUUGGGAGGCCAAGGAGGGAGGAUCACUUUAGCUAUGAAGGUCAAGUCUGCAGUGAGCCCUGAUCACAGCACUGCACUCUCCCUGGACAACAGAGCAACACCCUUAAAAAAAAAAAAAAAAAAAGUCAUCAGUUAG
rnacentral:lncRNA from 13 species